ACUCUUAGCUUCCUGCUCCAGUUGCUUGCCAACACCACACCAGAUAUUGCUACUGACUUGAAGAUGGAAGGUGCUGUGGAACAAUCUUUACUAUUGUGAGGUGAGAGAAAGAAUUUGAGUUCUCUGCCAGGAAGUGGUGGCACACACCUUUAAUUCUAGCAGUCAGGAGGCAGAGACAGGGUCAAGAGCAUUUCUCCUGAUUGAAGCAAGGCACCAUCCAUCUUCCCCUGCUAGGGGCAUCUGUUUCUCGUGCCAGACUAAGUAUAUACUUUGUGACAUAGUCCUUCUCUGGUGUGCAAGAAGUUCAAUGCCAAUACCAAAA